rnacentral:lncRNA from 10 species
GAGAUCGCAUCACUGUACUCCAGCUGGGGUGAAACGGCGAGACUCUACCUCAAAAAUAAAUAAAUACAUACAUAAUUAAUAAAUAAAACAUCAAAGACCAGCCGACCUAACUCCAUCUAAAAUACACAACUUCUACGCAAAAUAUAAAUAAAAUUAGAAAACAAACUACAAUCUCAGAAAAGCACUAGCAACUUAGACGACAUACUAAAGGCCAAAAAUACCCUCCUGACACACAGCUAAUAAAGAAAAAGUCAACUAUUCCAGUUAAAAAGAAGAAAAGGAAACUGGCUGUGGUGGCUUAUGCCUGUAAUCCCAGUGCUUUGGGAAGGCCAGGAGUUUGAGACCAGGAUGGACAGCAUAGCAAGACCCCAUCUCUACAAGGAAAAAAAGAAUCAGCCAGGCAUGGUGGUGUGGAGCUGUAGUUCCAACUACUCGGGGGGCUGAGGAGGAAGGAUCGCUUGAGCCAGGGAGGUCGAGGCUGCAGUGAGCUAUGAUUGUGCCACUGCAGUCCAGCCUGGGCGACAGAGCAAGACCCAGUCUCGAAAGAAAAGAAAGAGAAAGCAAGAAAAGAAAGAUGGCUGGGCACGGUGGCUCACUCCUGUAAUCCCAGCACUUUGGGAGGCCAAGGUGGGUGGAUCAUGAGAUCAAGAGAUCAAGACCAUCCUGGCCAACAGGGUGAAACCCCGUCUCUACUAAAAAUGCAAAAAUUAGCUGGGCGUGGUGGCGGGCACCAGUCCAGGCUACUCGGGAGGCUGAGGCAGGAGAAUGGUGUGAACCCAGGAGGCGGAGCUUGCAGUGAGCCGAGAUGGCACUGCUGCACUCCAGCCUGGGCAACAGAGUGAGACUCCAUCUCAAAUAAUAAUAAAAAAUAAAUAAAUAAAUAAAUAAAAGACAUCACUCACACCUGUAAUCCCAGCACUUCGGGAGGCCGAGGCAAGCAGAUCACCUAAGGCCAAGAGUUCAAGACCAGCCUGACCAACAUGGUGAAACCCCAUCUCUACUAAAAAUAUUUUUAAAAAUUAGCUGGGCGUGGUGGCGCGCGCCUGUAAUCCCAGCUACUCAGGAGGCUGAGGCAGGAGAAUCGCUUGAACCCGGGAGGUGGAGGCUGCAGUGAGCCGAGAUCACACCAUUGUCCUCCAGCCUGGGUGACAGAGCCAGACUCCGUCUCAAACAAAACAAAACAAAAGACAUCAGCUAGCUGGUCCAAGCACAGUGGUGUUCACAACGAAUUGAUCACAGCCAGGUAGAAUUCUUCAUUCUUUCUCCAGUUCCACUGCUUUGCUUGACCAGCCUUAAAGACACACAUAUACAUUUUUGUCUGGGCGCGCUGGCUCACACCUGUAAUCCCAACACUUUGGGAGGCCAAGGCAGGUGGAUCACUUGAGGUCAGGAGUUUGAGACCAGCCUGACCAACGUGGAGAAACCCCGUCUCUCCUAAAAAUACAAAAUUAGCCAGGCAUGGUGGCACACGCCUGUAAUCCCAGCUACUGGAGAGGCUGAGGCAGGAGAAUCGCUUGAACCCGGGAGGCGGAGGUUGCCGUGAGCUGAGAUCGCGCCACUGCACUCCAGCCUGGGCAACAAGAGCGAAACUCUGUCUCAAAAAAAAAAAAAAAAAAGUAUAUAUUUUUAAAAGACAUUGGCCGGGUGCGGUGGCUCACGCCUGUAAUCCCAGCACUUUGGGAGGCCGAGGUGGGCAGAUCACGAGGUCAGGAGAUCGAGACCAUCCUGGCCAACACGGUAAAACCCCGUCUCUACUAAAAAUACAAAAAUUAGCUGGGCACGGUGGUGCAUGCCUGUAAACCCAGCUACCAGGUACUCGGGAGGCUGAGGCAGGAGAAUCAC